GACGAACGCUGGCGGCGUGCCUAAUACAUGCAAGUAGGACGCAGUUUCGAACGGGUGAGUAACGCGUAGGUCACUGCACCUUAGAGGGGGGUAACUAUUGGAAACGAUAGCUAAUACAGCAUACUAGUAGAUGGACCUGCGUUGUAUUAGCUAGUAGGUAGGGUAGUGGCCUACCUAGGCGACGCUACAUAGCCGGACUGGGAGGGGUAUCGGGCACACCUGGGCAUGGACACCGGCCAAGCCCCCUAGGGAGGGAGCAGGAGGGAAUCGUCGGGAAUGGGAGGAACCCUGACCGGGCAACGCCGCGGGGAGGAAGAAGGGUUUCGGGACGUAAAGCUCUUGUGUUUAGAAAACGGUACUUAACCAGAAAGGGACGGCUAACUACGUGCCAGCAGCCGCGGUAAUUC
rnacentral:rRNA from 1 species